rnacentral:rRNA from 1 species
GGGCCCGCACAAGCGGUGGAGUAUGUGGUUUAAUUCGAUGCAACGCGAAGAACCUUACCAGGGUUUGACAUCCUGCGAAUCUCUUGGAAACGAGAGAGUGCCUUCGGGAACGCAGUGACAGGUGGUGCAUGGCUGUCGUCAGCUCGUGUCGUGAGAUGUUGGGUUAAGUCCCGCAACGAGCGCAACCCACGUCUUUAGUUGCUAGCAGGUAAUGCUGAGGACUCUAAAGAAACUGCCUACGCAAGUAGUGAGGAAGGCGGGACGACGUCAAGUCAUCACGGCCCUUACGUCCUGGCCACACACGUGCUACAAUGGUAGAUACAGAGGGCAGCUACCCCGCGAGGGGAUG